rnacentral:rRNA from 1 species
UUAGGAAUUUUGCGCAAUGGGCGAAAGCCUGACGCAGCAACGCCGCGUGAGGGAUGAAGGCCUUCGGGUUGUAAACCUCUUUUAGUUGGAACGAAAAAAAUGACGGUACCAACAGAAAAAGCACCGGCAAACUCUGUGCCAGCAGCCGCGGUGAUACAGAGGGUGCAAGCGUUAUUCGGAUUUACUGGGCGUAAAGAGCGUGUAGGUGGUUUAACAAGUCUGAUGUGAAAGCCCUGGUCUCAAGCCAGGAAGUGCACCGGAUACUGUUAGGCUAGAGUGCAGGAGGGGUGAGCGGAAUUCCUGGUGUAGAGGUGAAAUUCGUAGAUAUCAGGAGGAACAACAGAGGCGAAGGCGGCUCACUGGACUGCAACUGACACUAAGGCGCGAAAGCGUGGGGAGCAAACAGG